GACGGAGGGUGCUAGCGUUGUUCGGAAUCACUGGGCGUAAAGGGCGCGUAGGCGGCCGCCCGCGUCGGACGUGAAAGCCCGGGGCUCAACCCCGGAACGGCGUCCGAUACGGGGCGGCUCGAGGCCGGGAGAGGGGGGUGGAAUACCCAGUGUAGAGGUGAAAUUCGUAGAUAUUGGGUGGAACACCGGUGGCGAAAGCGGCCCCCUGGCCCGGUCCUGACGCUGAGGCGCGAAAGCGUGGGGAGCAAACAGG
rnacentral:rRNA from 1 species